rnacentral:rRNA from 1 species
AUUGAACGCUGGCGGUAUGCUUAACACAUGCAAGUCGAACGAGUGGCGGACGGGUGAGUAAUGCAUAGGAAUCUACCUUUUAGUCUAGGAUAACUACCCGAAAGGGUGGCUAAUACUGGAUGCUAAGAGAUGCGCAUAUGUGGGAUUAGCUAGUUGGUGGGGUAAUGGCUCACCAAGGCGACGAUCUCUAGCUGGUUUGAGGGGGUGGUCAGCCACACUGGGACUGGAAAACGGGCCAGACUCCUACGGGAGGCAGCAGUGGGGAAUAUUGGACAAUUGGGGAAAGCCUGGUCCAGCAAAUGCGCGUGUGUGGAGAAGGCCCUAGGGUUGUAAAGCACUUUUGAUAGGGAGAUGUUACCUAAAGAAGAAGCACCGGCUAACUCCGUGCCAGCAGCCGCGGUAAUAC